rnacentral:rRNA from 1 species
UACGAAGGGGGCUAGCGUUGUUCGGAAUUACUGGGCGUAAAGCGCACGUAGGCGGAUUUGUUAGUCAGGGGUGAAAUCCCGGGGCUCAACCUCGGAAUUGCCUUUGAUACUGCAAGUCUCGAGUCCGGAAGAGGUGAGUGGAAUUCCUAGUGUAGAGGUGAAAUUCGUAGAUAUUAGGAAGAACACCAGUGGCGAAGGCGGCUCACUGGUCCGGUACUGACGCUGAGGUGCGAAAGUGUGGGGAGCAAACAGG